CCUACGGGGGGCAGCAGUGAGGAAUAUUGGUCAAUGGACGAGAGUCUGAACCAGCCAAGUAGCGUGAAGGAUGACUGCCCUAUGGGUUGUAAACUUCUUUUAUAUGGGAAUAAAAUGUUCCACGUGUGGGAUUUUGUAUGUACCAUAUGAAUAAGGAUCGGCUAACUCCGUGCCAGCAGCCGCGGUAAUACGGAGGAUCCGAGCGUUAUCCGGAUUUAUUGGGUUUAAAGGGAGCGUAGGUGGAUUGCUAAGUCAGUUGUGAAAGUUUGCGGCUCAACCGUAAAAUUGCAGUUGAAACUGGCAGUCUUGAGUACAGUAGAGGUGGGCGGAAUUCGUGGUGUAGCGGUGAAAUGCUUAGAUAUCACGAAGAACUCCGAUUGCGAAGGCAGUUCACUGGACUGCAACUGACACUGAGGCUCGAAAGUGUGGGUAUCAAACAGGAUUAGAUACCCCUGUAGUC
rnacentral:rRNA from 1 species